rnacentral:tmRNA from 1 species
GGGGGUGUCUUGGUUUCGACUGGGAACUGUAACGCAUCGUCGCAUGCCGGAGAUGAUGGUUGGCUCCGUAAAAAUCCAUCAAACUCUAUUAAAUGGCAAAGAUAAUGUCAUCGCUCUCGACUUCGGUAACGGGGUUAUGAGCAAAGCCGCGUAAGUUGUCGUGGCGCAUCGACCGCGAGAGGCCCGUGAUCGCGAAUCGGUGUUGGUUAGCGGGCAGCGCUGGGGUUUUGUCGGCGAGACUCCGACCGUUUUGAUAUCGCUGGCUCGGCACGUUGGGCGCGUUCACCCGCGGGACGUUGCUUAGAUUGGUAGGUCAACUACGCAUGUAGAAGCGCUGCGCGAACGUUUUUAGGACGCGGGUUCGACUCCCGCCACCUCCACCU